rnacentral:rRNA from 1 species
GAUGAACGCUGGCGGCGUGCCUAAUACAUGCAAGUCGAGCGAACAGAUAAGGAGCUUGCUCCUUUGACGUUAGCGGCGGACGGGUGAGUAACACGUGGGUAACCUACCUAUAAGACUGGGAUAACUUCGGGAAACCGGAGCUAAUACCGGAUAAUAUUUCGAACCGCAUGGUUCGAUAGUGAAAGAUGGUUUUGCUAUCACUUAUAGAUGGACCCGCGCCGUAUUAGCUAGUUGGUAAGGUAACGGCUUACCAAGGCGACGAUACGUAGCCGACCUGAGAGGGUGAUCGGCCACACUGGAACUGAGACACGGUCCAGACUCCUACGGGAGGCAGCAGUAGGGAAUCUUCCGCAAUGGGCGAAAGCCUGACGGAGCAACGCCGCGUGAGUGAUGAAGGUCUUCGGAUCGUAAAACUCUGUUACUAGGGAAGAACAUACGUGUAAGUAACUGUGCACGUCUUGACGGUACCUAAUCAGAAAGCCACGGCUAACUACGUG